rnacentral:rRNA from 1 species
GUGGGGAAUCUUAGACAAUGGGGGCAACCCUGAUCUAGCCAUGCCGCGUGAGUGAUGAAGGCCUUAGGGUUGUAAAGCUCUUUCAGUGGGGAAGAUAAUGACGGUACCCACAGAAGAAGCCCCGGCUAACUUCGUGCCAGCAGCCGCGGUAAUACGAGGGGGGCUAGCGUUGUUCGGAUUUACUGGGCGUAAAGAGCACGUAGGCGGAUUGGUCAGUUAGAGGUGAAAUCCCGAAGCUCAACUUCGGAACUGCCUUUAAUACUGCCAGUCUCGAGUCCGGAAGAGGUGAGUGGAACUCCUAGUGUAGAGGUGGAAUUCGUAGAUAUUAGGAAGAACACCAGUGGCGAAGGCGGCUCACUGGUCCGGUACUGACGCUGAGGUGCGAAAGCGUGGGGAGCAAACAGGAUUAGAUACCCCGGUAGUCC